AUGCGCACGGGUAUGGCACCGCCGCCGCCGUCACCCGCGGCCGGUCGGCCUCUCCAGCCAUCCGUCGCCCUGUUCUCCAUCCCCUCCCCGUCAGUCCCCGAUCACACACGAGCACGGGAUCUCUGUGAUGCGCACGGGAACGGCACCGUCGCCGCCGCCACGUGCGACCGGUCGUCCUCUCCGGCCAUCCGUCGCUACCAAGCGCGGCCGGUAGUCCUCUCCGGCCAUUCGCCGCCUUGUCCGCCACCCCCUCCCCAUGCGUCCCCAAUCAGCCUCCUCGAUCUCCAACCUCAUGUUGUCGUCCUUCUCUGA
rnacentral:rRNA from 1 species